rnacentral:rRNA from 1 species
GAUGAACGCUGGCGGCGUGCUUAACACAUGCAAGUCGAACGAAGCAUUUAGAACAGAUUACUUCGGUUUGAAGUUCUUUAUGACUGAGUGGCGGACGGGUGAGUAACGCGUGGGUAACCUGCCUUGUACUGGGGGAUAGCAGCUGGAAACGGCUGGUAAUACCGCAUAAGCGCACAAUGUUGCAUGACAUGGUGUGAAAAACUCCGGUGGUAUAAGAUGGACCCGCGUCUGAUUAGCUAGUUGGUGAGAUAACAGCCCACCAAGGCGACGAUCAGUAGCCGACCUGAGAGGGUGACCGGCCACAUUGGGACUGAGACACGGCCCAGACUCCUACGGGAGGCAGCAGUGGGGAAUAUUGCACAAUGGAGGAAACUCUGAUGCAGCGACGCCGCGUGAGUGAAGAAGUAAUUCGGUAUGUAAGCUCUAUCAGCAGGGAAGAUAGUGACGGUACCUGACUAAGAAGCUCCGGCUAAAUACGUG